GGUUGUUGUCCAAGGUAUGUGUGGAGCCGAAAAAUUUUGAUCAUGGAAAGGAUGCCUCAAACAUGGAUUAGGAUUUUUGCUAAUGGAUUUGUUUAACUAUAAUUUAUUGAUCUAAGGUGAUUAGAAUUAAUGAUUAUAUAUUAAAUCAAAUUCAUAAUUUUAAUUUGAUUAGAAAUCAUGUUUAAAUUUAGGUUGAUCUA
rnacentral:lncRNA from 1 species